AACCAUAGAAACCUGCGGAGUACCUGCGGAGGGAUCAUUACCGAGUGUCGCCCCAUUUUAAAACAAAAAUAGGGGUACCUCCCGUCCUUUGCAGGGCCCUUUGGGGCUUUUUGAACUUUGCUUCGGCGAGUUUACCCCGCCGGAACACCCUCAAGAAAAUCUUUUUAAAAAAACCUGUUGUCUGAGCAUUUAUGAAAUAAAACAAAACUUUCAACAACGGAUCUCAGAUCGGAAGAGCAC
rnacentral:misc_RNA from 1 species